GACGAACGCUGGCGGCGUGCUUAACACAUGCAAGUCGAACGGAAAGGCCUGCUUUCCCUUGUGGAUUGCGGGUACUCGAGUGGCGAACGGGUGAGUAACACGUGAGUGAUCUGCCCCCAACUUGGGUAUAAGCCUGGGAAACUGGGUCUAAUUCCCGACAGGACUGCAGGGUGGUGCCUGUGGUGGAAAACGAUUUUCUAGUGGUUGGGGAUGAGCUCGCGGCCUAUCAGCUUGUUGGUGGGGUAAUGGCCUACCAAGGCGGCGACGGGUAGCCGGCCUGAGAGGGUGGACGGCCACAUUGGGACUGAGAUACGGCCCAGACUCCUACGGGAGGCAGCAGUGGGGAAUAUUGCACAAGGGGCGGAAGCCUGAUGCAGCGACGCCGCGUGGGGGAUGACGGCCUUCGGGUUGUAAACUCCUUUCGACCGCGAGGAAGCCACCUGGUUGGAAGGGUGGUGACGGUAGUGGUAGAAGAAGCACCGGCUAACUACGUG
rnacentral:rRNA from 1 species